rfam:Hepacivirus C isolate sP161684 polyprotein gene, complete cds
CCAUUGCCGGCUGCGGGCCUAUUGGAUCUUUCCAGUUGGUUCACUGUCGGCGUCGGCGGGAACGACAUUUAUCACAGCGUGUCGCGUGCCCGAACCCGCCAUUUACUCCUUUGCCUACUCCUACUCACCGUAGGGGUAGGCCUUUUUCUCCUACCUGCUCGGUGAGCUGGUAGGUUA